rnacentral:rRNA from 1 species
AUUGAACGCUGGCGGCAGGCUUAACACAUGCAAGUCGAGCGGAGAGAGGUAGCUUGCUACUGAUCUUAGCGGCGGACGGGUGAGUAAUGCUUAGGAAUCUGCCUAUUAGUGGGGGACAACAUUUCGAAAGGAAUGCUAAUACCGCAUACGUCCUACGGGAGAAAGCAGGGGAUCUUCGGACCUUGCGCUAAUAGAUGAGCCUAAGUCGGAUUAGCUAGUUGGUGGGGUAAAGGCCUACCAAGGCGACGAUCUGUAGCGGGUCUGAGAGGAUGAUCCGCCACACUGGGACUGAGACACGGCCCAGACUCCUACGGGAGGCAGCAGUGGGGAAUAUUGGAUAAUGGGCGCAAGCCUGAUCCAGCCAUGCCGCGUGUGUGAAGAAGGCCUUAUGGUUGUAAAGCACUUUAAGCGAGGAGGAGGCUACUGAAGUUAAUACCUUCAGAUAGUGGACGUUACUCGCAGAAUAAGCACCGGCUAACUCUGUGCCAGCCGCCGCCGUAAUAC